rnacentral:tRNA from 1 species
GCUUAACUGGCUUAGUUGGUAGAGCAUGUGACUCUUGAUCUCAGGGUUGUAAGUUUGAGUCCCGUGUUGGGUG